rnacentral:rRNA from 1 species
GACGAACGCUGGCGGCGUGCCUAAUACAUGCAAGUAGAACGCUGAAGGAGGAGCUUGCUUCUCUGGAUGAGUUGCGAACGGGUGAGUAACGCGUAGGUAACCUGCCUGGUAGCGGGGGAUAACUAUUGGAAACGAUAGCUCAUACCGCAUAAUAGUAGAUGUUGCAUGACAUUUGCUUAAAAGGUGCAAUUGCAUCACUACCAGAUGGACCUGCGUUGUAUUAUCUAGUUGGUGGUGUAACGGCUCACCACGGCGACGAUACAUAGCCGACCUGAGAGGGGGAUCGGCCAAACUGGGACUGAGACACGGGCCAGACCUCCACGGGAGGCAGCAGGAGGGAAUCGUCGGCAAUGGACGGAAGGCUGACCGAGCAACGCCGCGGGAGUGAAGAAGGUUCUCGGAUCGGAAAGAUCUGUUGUAAGAGAAGAACGAGAGGGAGAGGGGAAAGUGCACACUGUGACGGUACCUAACCAGAAAGGGACGGCUAACUACGUG